AUGCCGACGCCAGGGGGCGCUGGUGGCCGGGCUGUCUUGGAGCGGGAGGACGCAGGCUCUGGCCUCGGAGCACGCUGCCAACCUGGCUUGUCACAAGAGGGGAGUCCCGAAAGGAACCUGUGGAACAACCGGCCUAGGGGCUUCGGCCGUCGGGCGACGUGGGCGGAGGGAAAGCUUUCCCAGCUGCGUCUCUUCCUGGUUGCAUCUCCGCUGCCCUUCGCUGCUGGGUCGACGCACUGGCGCUCAGUAAGGGGAGGAGGACGGACCAAUCUGACCAUCACCGUGCCUGCCGACCUGCUCGGUUUCAACUCUUUGUAGGCCCCUCCAGUGGGCAAGCCAUGGUUCUUCUUAGAGUCAUUUGAAGUACCAGAGAGAAGAUUUUUUUCCACAAACAGGCAGUUCAGAUGCUCCACAUGAGGUGCUCUUUGACAAGAGACCAUCAGGGCUGGUGAUGCUGGUGUGCAGCCUUUCAGAUGUGCGGGAGGAUAAAAGGCCCUGCCCUAAGUCCCUGGAGUGCCUCCACGCGCCAUGCAGAGUAUCUCGGCCCCUCCACACCUGAGCAGACCUGGAAAUGGAAGAGGGGAAAAGAAGAAGACAUUUGCCAGCAGUCUUUUUGGGCUCCUUAGCUUCAAACAUUCUUCUGACACCUGCCCACAGUAGACUGGCUCAUGGCGUUUAGUGUUGCUGGGUGGCCCCAGAACCCCACAGCUGUGGCAGUUCUUGCUGUUCUUCUAGUGGCUUCACAGUCCCACUGUGAGGUUCCCUUGGCACUGCAGAAUCUCUGUCCCCCCACUGCCCUUGCCUGGUGUAGAGAGGGUUUCACCCUUCCCAAUGCUGUGUGACAGCCUCUGUUGCAUCUUUGGGCAUGUGGAAGUGAAUUUGUCUUACUGUCCUGUAGAAGUAAAUGAAAAUACUCACUUUGCAUAAAUUAAUACACGGAAUAGGGCCGGCCUCCACCUUUCUGGUUUCUGGAGGGUGAAAACUGUAAGGCCUGACAGUCUCAGAUCCAGAAGCCUCUUCACCUCUGGACUGAACACUUGAAACCAAAACAUGUCCUUUUGCCGAUGCUCAUUUGAGUCCAUUUUUUAACACAGAUGACAAGAUCCUGACUAGUGCAGAAAUUGGUCUUGCCAAUGGGGUAUCGCUGCAGACUCUAAAAUCAAACAAUGACGGGGUUGGGUGGCCCUUCAGAGCGGAUUGUUCUUUCCUGGCUGGAAACUUGACAAUUCUCACAUACUAGAUAUUUUUCCUUCUGCCCUUUCAGGCCCAUCUGUCAUGAGGGAGGCUGGAGGAAGCCCCUGGGAAGAUGUGUAGGGGUGAAUGGGAUCCGGAUGGCGCCUCUGGUAGAGCAGGGAGCUGGAGGGAGAGCUGAUAGAAUAGACGGGUGGGACAGUUCUCAUCUCCCUUCUCUGUGAGAUAAUAAGCGAGAUUAUCUUCUGGGUGUCAAGGAGGCACAGGUGGAUGGCAGGUUUAAGAGAAGUGAUAACAAUCUGGGAGGGCUCUAGAAAAGGAUGGGAGAGUGACAGGAAACAAGUACUCAAUUUGGAGACUGGUGGAGAGGGGGCUCCACCAAUCCUAGGGGCUCCACCAAUCCUAGGAGCCCAACCCUGAUGCGGCAUCAAUCUGAGGGAGGGCUGGCUGGCUGUGUGUGGCUCUCUGAAUGCUGAGCAGCUCUGUGGGGGCAGAGCUGGGCCAGGGGGCUUGCAGGCUGAUGGACAGGCAGGGAAGUGUGGGCACAGUGGAAGACAGGGUGCUGAGGAGCUCAUGCUCUGGUUGACAUCUUAUUGGAGUCCACCCUCCUUUGCAUGGCAAACUGCAGUCAGGUGAGGUAGCACCUCUUCCCACAGUAGCCCAAAUUCCCAGAAACAGCAACUGAGAAGAUAGGAGUACACCUGAGGCACAGCGGGGAAUGUGCCAUGACCAUUCUUGUCUGGCUUUAUAGGCUCCAUGAGAAAUUGUCCAUAGGAACAAUGUCCAUUAUGAAGGUUCCAUUUCAAAGCCUGACUUGUAAAGGCCAUCUUAAAACAGCCUUUAGGUUUUAGGUGGUGAGAGAGGACAGCAUGUUCUCUCCCAUUGCCACCUGAUCAGUCAAAUGUCAGCAGAACUGAGCCUCUGCUAGCAAAACAGUAUUUCCUAUUCCAAAGACAGCUCUUCCCAAGAGAUUAAAAAUUAGACCAAUAGUUGUCCACUAGAAAACUCCUGAACAUUCCUCAUCAUAAUUAUAGCAGGGAAUAGAAAACCCAGUUUAUAGAGUGUUUUAUGUUCACUCUUUGCCAUCUGUUACUUCCCGAGUCUUUACAAUAGCCCUGGGAGGUAAGCAGGCUCAUCCUACUAUUUCUUUUUUUUUUUUAAAGAUUUUAUUUAUUUAUUUGAGAGAGAGAAUG